rnacentral:lncRNA from 1 species
CAAACCUCCAGUCUAUAAAGAAAAUAAAAGGAAGGAAGGUGGAAAGAUUUAGAUGCCAGAAGACACUCUCUCAGUGGAUAUCUAUGGAGAUCCAGCCCUCAGUGGAUAAGGAGACACAAGACACAGCACAACAAAUUCUCAUCUUGCUCCUUCCACAUGGAAGAUGAAGGAGGAGAUCUGGAAAGGAAAGGAGAGCCCGGGGUUGAGAUGGGAUUUCUGCCAGAAGGAGGAUGGGCACUCGACGGCCUCGCCAUCUGCACUGUGCACGUCGCCCAUCCCCCACCCCCACCCCCAAAGCACACAAAGGAAAGUUGCUGGAGCCCGGAUGCUCAGGCCUGUGCCCAGUUGUGUGCCCCACUGGAGACAAUGCCAUCUGGUUAAAAGAAAUACCCUUGCAUCUCUAAACCGUUGGACGGAAGCAGAAGCCCCCUCCCCACCCCCCGGCGCUAGCUCGGAAAGGCUCUCUGGAACCCUCGAACUGGGACCUUCAACCUCAGUUCUUGGCCUUGGCCUCGCCUCUCCCACCUGAAGACACUCCUCCGUCGGGGAGAAAUUAGGAAGAUUUACUGCAAUGCCGGGGAGAGGACUUCAUUGGACGAUAAAGAAAGAGAGACCAAAAUUUAGUUCUCGAGAGAUUAAAUAGGUUGCUCCCUAAAAAAAUGGUCCCCCGGUGGUAUUUCAUUGGUGUUUGGCAGAGGGUGCCCUUUAGAGUGAGAAGAAGGUGUGUGUAAGUCACGGGAGGGUGGGCGGAAUGAAAUAAACGUACCAUCCCCUGGACCUGGAGAACCCAGUGCGGGUGAACUUGGCCGCUUGGACUGUGGAUGUCAAUCAAAGUAAUGUGUUGGGGGAAGGGGGAGGAAGUUUGUCACCCGUUUUAAUAUCAGAAAUUCCUUUACGUGGGUGGUAACUGGGGAACAGCUGCAGGUAGCUGAAUCACAGCCCAAAUCCUUGCAAAAACGCUGGUGGGACCCCUGCCAACAACUGAGCAAUGGCUUUUCAAGCUGGAAG